rnacentral:rRNA from 1 species
UCCUCCCUCUUUCUUCGUGCUUAACACAUGCAAGUCGAACGGAAAGGCCCUGCUUUUGUGGGGUGCUCGAGUGGCGAACGGGUGAGUAACACGUGAGUAACCUGCCCUUGACUUUGGGAUAACUUCAGGAAACUGGGGCUAAUACCGGAUAGGAGCUCCUGCUGCAUGGUGGGGGUUGGAAAGUCUCGGCGGUUGGGGAUGGACUCGCGGCUUAUCAGCUUGUUGGUGGGGUAGUGGCUUACCAAGGCUUUGACGGGUAGCCGGCCUGAGAGGGUGACCGGCCACAUUGGGACUGAGAUAGGGCCCAGACUCCUACGGGAGGCAGCAGUGGGGAAUAUUGCACAAUGGGCGGAAGCCUGAUGCAGCAGCGCCGCGUGCGGGAUGACGGCCUUCGGGUUGUAAACCGCUUUCGCCUGUGACGACGCGUGAGUGACGGUAAUGGGUAAAGAAGCACCGGCUAACUACGUG